rnacentral:rRNA from 1 species
GUGUCAGCCGCCGCGGUAAUACGGAGGAUGCAAGCGUUAUCCGGAAUGAUUGGGCGUAAAGGGUCCGCAGGUGGCUGUGUAAGUCUGCUGUUAAAGAGUCAUGCUCAACAUGAUCAAGGCAGUGGAAACUACACAGCUAGAGUGCGUUCGGGGCAGAGGGAAUUCCUGGUGUAGCGGUGAAAUGCGUAGAUAUCAGGAAGAACACCGGUGGCGAAAGCGCUCUGCUAGGCCGCAACUGACACUGAGGGACGAAAGCUAGGGGAGCGAAUGGGAUUAGAAACCCGCGUAGUCC